GUCGGCCGGAUCCACUAGCGAGGAGGUUAGGGUCGCUGGAUCCGGUGGCCCCAGCCUCCUCACGGGCGACGACGAUA
rnacentral:pre_miRNA from 1 species